GACGAACGCUGGCGGCGUGCUUAACACAUGCAAGUCGAACGAAGUGGCGAACGGGUGAGUAAUACGUGGGUAACCUGCCCUCCUUUUUGGGAUAAGCCUUGGAAACGGGGUCUAAUACCGAAUAAAGGGGGAUGGGCUCGCGGCCGAUCAGCUUGUUGGUGGGGUGAUGGCCCACCAAGGAGACGAUGGGUAGCCGGCCUGAGAGGGUGAACGGCCACAUGGGAACUGAGAAACGCACCAAACUCCUACGGGGGGCAGCAGUGGGGAAUAUUGCACAAUGGAGGGAACUCUGAUGCAGCGACGCCGCGUGCGUGAUGACGGCCUUCGGGUUGUAAACCGCUUUCAGCCAUGACGCGGUAGUGGCAGAAGAAGCACCGGCUAACUACGUGCCAGCAGCCGCGGUAAUUC
rnacentral:rRNA from 1 species